CCUUAGCAUGAUGCAUAUCAGCUGAUUGCUCUUCAUGGGUUGCAGUGUUGUAGGGUCCCGAGAUAUUAGAGAGACAAGGGGGUCACUUAACUCACAUAAUUGUGUACUUGGUUAUGGAAGAGCGACUAGUUCUGGCUAGUAGAGGGGUAUCUGAGAGAUACUUUAAAAAUAUUGCAGGGGGUUUUAUCAUUUAAAGCAUGUGCGUGAAAUGUUGGGACAUAGCUGCAGUGUGUGUUUGGGCUAACAGGGGUAGGGUAUGGAGGCUGGGAGAGGACAGCAUUCAGUGGGCUGUUAGUGGAAAACUCCUUGCAUGUCAGGCAGCGGAGCAGCUAUUGCUUUGUCUGUUAAGCUCUGCCUUGGUUAGGAGGACUGGUUAUAUUCCAGAGGCACCAGCCAAAGAUCAAGGCAGCAGCAGUGUGCUAGUUGCUGUACAAAUACAUAGUAAGAGACAAUUGCUGCCCUGGAGAGCUGCUGUAGACAGACAUCACCAGCAGGAGGCAGGGCUGCACAGAGGGACUCUGGGGGCCCAGGGCAAAAUCUGAACCUGAGGCUCCCCACCCUUCCCAGAAUAUUACCACUGAGGUGGGAGCUGGAGCUCUGUCAUUAACACCCACCCACCUAUCAGAAUGAUCACAAGGAACGUUGGUUGGAUUUCGUUGGUGCGAUCCCAGUUGUGCUGUGUUGGGAGCUGGCACAGGUGUGUGACAGAAGCCCAGCCAGAAGGCAGUUUUGGGCAAGUGGUGUGCAAAGCCCCACAAUGCAGACCGGGGGCCAAUCCCUGCUCUCAGUCGCUGCAGGGUAAAUCGGGAGUAGCUUGGUGGACAUCAGCGAUGCUGCUCCGGAUGUACACAGGUGUGGGUCAGAGCCGGGGCUGGGAUGUCAUGGCUUUACCAUGUGAUGAGGGGCUCAGAACCUUCUGCCACGCGUGUUGUGGAGGGAGCUGACAGCUUGGACUGGAGCAAGCGGUAGAGAGAACAGCUUUCAGUCUGGGAGGGCAGCUGUGUGGCAUUUGGGUCUCCGCAGCCCCUCGCGUGGGGUGAGUUCAUUUCUGUUCUGUUGUUACCAGGAAGAAAUCAGCUAGGGCCAGUGUGGCGAGCGAGGGGUGAUACAGCGGCCCCAGCAUCAAUGCUCUUAGGGGGUAAAAAUCCCCAGACCCACUAAGUCACACUCACCGCCAGGAAAUCUCUCUCUUUGGGGCCAGGAUGCACUUCACAAGGGUCAGCAGUUAGCUGCACCCACGCUAAACACUACAGAAAGCCAUAGCUAGGGGAGGCUGGGGAGGUGCAGGGUACAAAGGGUUAAUGAUGCAGUUUAGAGCUAAAGGAAGGUUCAGUGGGUUCCCUGCAUGGAGGUGGGUGGGCCCUGUGCUGGCAGAACGUCCCUGUCUCCAGAAGGAGGCUGGAGCAUGGAUGAGGUCUAUGAGGCUGCUAGUGCUGUGUUGAGGUGGGUUUGAUCCCACCGAUGAGCUGUAUAGGGGGAUAAUGGCAGAGGUGGUGAGACCCUUUCGUGGGGAACGUGGGGCAGUUCCAGAGCAAGAUGUGACCAGAGGGGCGGGGACUGUGUUUCCCGAGAGAUUAGAGUGUUCCACGAGAUAAGGAAGUAGGAAGGCACGUGUCUUUUCAAUCCCACCCAUUCAAAGGAAGAGGCAGGCAUGGCUGGAUCCUACCCUGGGAAGACAGCAGAGCAGUCCAUGCCAUAGUCUGAAUAGCCCCAGACUGACUGGCCGGGGAGCAAGGAGCUGAGACGCAGACGUGAGCUGAUCACGGCGGUGAGGGACGGAGGGAGAUGCACUGGGACACCUGCCAUGGUUCCCCCUUGUCCGGGUCCCGCCAGCCAUGCCGCCUCCUCCCGGGAUCCAGGUUCCUCCCUGCGAGCGCUGAGGGAACAGCCUCCGUUGCCCAGCAGAUUCACGCUUCACCCGCUGGGCCGCAGGACGUGCCCUCACCGGGAGCUGCUGGCUCAGGUUGACCGGAGUCCCACUUCCCCUGUCCCUGCGAGCUGCGCUCUCUACAACCGGCCCCUGAAUACACCCCCUCUGGUGGGGCCAUGGGCUCAAGUCAUGGCGAGGCCCAUGCCUCCCGCUGCAGGAAGUCGCUUUGUCUACUCCACGGCCAGGCCUGCGCCCACAUUGUCCCACGUGGAUCAGAGCUGUACGCCUCCUCUCUCCACCAGCUGGGCCUUCUACUCCAGGGAUCAGAGCUUGUCCCCUCCCUGGGAGCCCAUGGAGCGAGCUAAGCAGAGCCCCGCACUGCCUGUGCCCAGAUGCUACGCGGUGUACUCCAUGGACAGGAGCUCAGUGCCUUACCUGGCCCCGGGGGCUCCAGCUGGCCAGAGCCCUGCUCUGCCUCUGCCCAGGACUUAUGCCGUUUAUUCUCUUGAGCGGACCUUGUUUUCUCACCUGGACUCCUCAGUGCAGCCUGGGCUGGGAUCCUCUUCUGUCCCAGUCAGCUGUGCUGUUUAUUCCAUGGACAGCUCGUCUCCCAGCCCAGCCCCACUAGCUCAGCCUUCUCCCGACUCCCCUCUAUUCCCACCGCUUCUGCUGGCGGUGUACUCUGCAGGCCAGAGGUGCUGUCCCCCACACCUGGAACUGCUCUCGCAGAUUGACCGCAGCUGCACUCCCCCGGUCCCAGCCAGCUGUGCUGUCUACUCUCGGGAUGCUCCACUCGAUCCUUUGCCCGGACGGCUUGCGCCAAGCACUUAGCCCCGGGGGCCGUACCGGCUAAUCGCUGGAGCAGCACCUGACUCCUCAUCUAGACCCAUCAGUUCCCAUUCCUCCGACUCACCAGGCUUCCUUCCUGCCCUUCUGUCCUGACCUGGGCCCAGGCCUCCCCUGGCCGUGUGGCACUGUGCACAGCCUGGAGUUCCCCUCCCAGAGGGACUUUCCUCACCUCCUGACGCAACUCUCCUGCUUCAACCUCAGCACCUCAGAAUAAAGCAAGAGCAGCUUGCCAGUGGACUCCACUGCCUCUCGGGUGUUCUCGGUCUCCCACAGGGUGCUGGCGGGGCCCCCACUGGAUCCUAAGCUUCUAGUGAUCCACGGAACAGGGCAAACAACCCAGGUCUUCUGCCCCCUCCCCGCCCUUCUAAUGGCCUCAUCCCAACCUAGCAGGGUCACAAGAGGGUCACACUGUCGCCAGGUCCCGGUCAGUCCUUAGGUGUCUCGGCUGGGAAGCACCAGGUGUGCCGUGGGGUUAGUGAUGUGACCGCCUGGCCCGCAGAGAUAAAUAGAACUCGGAGCCAUCACUGCAUUUUACCCAGGGCCCCGAAUGCAGAGCAGCUGGGGGUGAUGGGGCGCUUGACUGCCCGGGGCUGGAUUUCGAACAAUGGCCUAAGGGGGAAUGGCUCCCUAAGCUAGCAAAGCCCUGGGAGCCUCACCAUUAACGGAGGGCUGGGUUCCAACCCUCCAACACACCUGGCGUAAUAUCUGCCCAGAAUGCUUUGCCAGUCCUGUAUGCCUCAAUCGGCUCCCUAGUUAGAGGUGUUACAAUAGCCCAGGAAGCCACAUAAGGGGGUCUCUUCCCACUGGCAGAGUGCCCCAAGAUAAAGUUAUGGCCGGAGGUGAAAAUGGAGAAGGGAGGAGUGAGAGAACAGAGGAGGUCUCAAGGGAGAAGGAGAACGAGGGGCAUGGCCACUGGUUGGGCUAAAAUAACGGCGAUUCGGAGAGUUUCUAGGUGAACCGUUUCCCUCUACUGAAUUGAAACAGAACUGUCCAGUGGAUAUCAUAGACCGUGUACUGCUAGACAUGAACAAAUGGAGAUUCUCCCUUGAGCGGAGGUGGUGGGGAUGGGGGCAUGAUUUUAGAGCAAAUAGGCCUGAGGCCUAAUAGUGCUGCAGCUGUGAAGUUUCAAGCAGUUGCAGUGACCUCUCUGCAAUUACUUGUUGGCAACAGAUCCACUGCAGUAACCAAGACAAACCUUUGCCCCCCAAAUGGCUCCAGUGCUGAAGCUGCGUGAGACAUCACAAAUGUUUGGGUGACUUUUUGGAACCUCUGCACAGCUUAGGGCCGAUUCAGAGACAGGUUUUGUACUGGUUUUUUGGAUGCAGUUAUACUGGUACGGCCAGGUAACUGAUGGGAACAAGCAAUCGCGACACUAGCACCUGUAAAGCAGUGUUGCUGCGUCCCCCGUAAGGUUUCCAAGCUGAUGUAGGUCAAUCAGUACAAACACUGGCUCUGUCUCCACUGCAUUGUAAACCUGGAUCUGGACAAUUGCUGGACCUCACCGCUAUGCUUAUGCGUCCACACUGCAUUGUGAAGCCUUUCUGACACGGGUCUGUGGUUUGAGCUGUGUCCCUACUGCAAAAUGACAGGGCACAACUCAGGCUCUGACACCCCACCUCACCAGCAGGAGCCCAGUCAGGCUGAUUUGCAUGUGGAUGGAAGUCAGACUUAGGCUCAAACCUGAGUCAGAACCCACACUUGACGUGCAGUGCAGACAUACCCUCUGUGUCUAAAGCAGCCCUUCGUUUCUUUUGGCAACAGGAAUUCUCAGGUCCCAAAGAUUUCCAGCCUGGCCCCUAGCUUGGCUCAGCAUCUUCUGGUGCCAGUCAGCUGGCUGCUCACAGCCAAUUGCUUGGACCUGGAGACUGUAUUGAUGGGUGCAAGCAGAACAGAUGGCUUGCUACCUGCUAAGGUACUUCCAGGGCCCCCACAACCCACAGUAUCUGAGUGUCUAUCUUUAACGUAUUUCUUCUCACAUCAUCCCUGUGAGGUAGAACAGUACUGUUAUCCCCUUUUGAAAGCCAGGGACCAAGGCACAGAGACCCCAAGGCCUGGAUCCUCAAAGGUAUUUCGCACCUAAUGCUCAACUGGACGGUUAGGUACCUACCUACCUCAGGGCCUGGGCCUUAGUGAUUUACCCAGCAAGAGACACUGUGGCCUACUGCUGGUGCUGCGACCCACAGGAAGCCUGUUGCCAAGCCAGGAAUUGAGCCUUUGUCUCCCUAACUAGAAUGUGAUCCUUCCUCACUCUAGAAGACUUGAACUCACCAUACAUCAGUGCUGCUCAGGUUCAAAGGCCGCAGCCUGUGGCCAGGAGCCACUCAGUUACUGUUGCUAAGCCCACACAAUUAGAUUUACUGCCAUACUUGGGGGUCUCUUCCCUAGAUCUGGUUUCUGACUCUUUAGCCUGACAAACCCCAGCUCCUGCAAUGGGAACGCAUCUCAAGGUCUAUCACUGCAGGAGCAAUAACUGCUUUGUUCAGCAAGGGUCCCUAUGUCACAGCAACCAGCAGAGUAAAUGUACAGCAAACUGGCAAACCUGCAAGGGUAGAGAUUUGCAAUGCCAAGAGGCCUCCACUUCCUGGGAUCACUAUGCAGAGCUGCUUCGCACUCCUAUGUACUACCCAUCAGCGUCUCACCAGUUGGCCAUCUAUUUGUGACUCCUGGGUGCUGUGCAAAUGGGCUGCUCUUGCUGUAAUCACUGGGUAAGGCCACCACUUCUAGCAGAGGCAAUUCUUUAGGCUGGCCUGACUGCUGCUGACGAGGGGCAGCUUUAGCCAAGAGUGAGCUGCAUUCAAAGGUCAGAACAUUUGGUUAUGGGUCUGCUCAGCCCCGUGGCCCUUUUUAAAAGCCAACCACCUGUGACACGGACAGUGGCACGAUGGUGGGUGAAAUUUUCAGAAGCACCUAAGUGAGUUUGGAGGCAGAAGCUCUAGGAUAGACUUCUGCCAGCACAUCUAUGUCAGUCCGGGGCAUGAGCAGGUGUGAUCCCUGGCCAACAUCAUUGUGCCAGCAGAAGCUGCUAGCAUAGGCCCAGUUAUAUCAGCAUAACUUUUACCGGGAUAGCUUGUUUCACUCCUGGGGGGUGGCGAUGGGGGUGGUUUUACUAUUCAGGUACAAAACGUAGCUUUGCUGGUAUGGCUGCAUCCACACUAGCCAUACUUUGUCAGUUUAAAACCUUGGUAUAAUUAAGUGCUCCUCGUGUAGACGUAGCUGACGUAACUGAAAUCAGAAGCAGGGAGAAAUUCACACCCCUACCUGUUAAAAUCACACCACUGUUAAACCAGUCACACGCCUACCUCUUAAAGCUAUGCCAGCAAAUGCCUAGUGUAGACUCAGUUGUAUUGACAAAAAAGUCCCUUUGCCAGCAUAGCUUUUUUUUUUUUUUCCCCAGGUGGGAGCUUCACUUGCAAAAAUACUUUCUUUGCCCGUAUAAGCUACGUCUCCACAAGGAGGGUUUGUGGGUAUAACUGCACUGGGCAAACCCUUUUGUAUGGAGACAAGGCCUUUGGUCUCCUAAGAAUCUGCAAUGACAGGAUUUUUAAUCUGAUCGUUUGCGACCACGGUUGCUUGCAAUCCCCAUGGCUGAACAGGACAUACCCACUUACAUAUGUUUCAAAGGUGUAAGUAGCAGGAGGAAGAGCUGUAGUACACCACUCCUCUUUUUGUCUGCUGGUAAUUGCAUCUUUAGCCCCUGCUGCUGUAGGCCUACUGAGGUGCUGGCUCUUCUUGUCAGUUACAUGCCCCUCUUUCAGCACUCUGCAUAUGCUAAACUUCGGGCUUCUACUUUAACUCUUUCCAAGCCAUUGCCUUCAGUCUGGGUCCUUUUGGUUACAGAAAAGACCAAUCCUUCUAUACACUUUCCCCCGGUACCCCAACAUGGCGUAACAGAACAGGCCAUCAGCUUCUGCAAAAGCAGCUGCUGAGAUCUUGCUAUUGACUUAUUUCUUAAUUUUGCAGUUUGGUCACAUUCUUCGGAGGCAAUGGGCAGUAAGAUAAAUCGAUACAUUUUCAGGUAAUUGGUAUGAAGCAAGGGCACACUCUAGUGGCCAGUUAAAGAACAUACACAUAUGUUUAACUAAUUUACUAUCAUUUUAGGGAUGCAUUCCCAACCAUUUCACUUAAUUACCUUGUGUUUCAGAUACCAGUUCCAUCUGGCUGUCUGCAAUGGAGGGAAGGAUGUUGCAACUUGCAGGGUGUAAGGGGGUUGAACAUCUUGGCAGUAAGACACCAUGCUGAAGACUACAUUAGAAACACUAAGAAUGAACAAAGCUUCUGGGUUUAAAGUGAAUAUUUGCUUUAUACUCCUAGCAAGGGCUUCCAAAGGUGUCAUCCAAUGGCACAUUUUCAUGCAUUUAAGGUAGAUUGUGUAGUGGCGAACUGGCUGCCGGAAUGUAGAAAACCUUCAUAUUACAGCAGCUUGGGGAAAUGAAGUAAGUAAUGUAGUUGGAAUUUUUGUACUUCUUUUACUAGUAUUGAACAUGUGUUUAUAUCGCGACCCUCCCCUUCUUGACCUGGCAAAUCAUGAUCUUGUGUUUAAUAGUCUGUCACUAUGAAUAUGACUGCAGUACCUGGAUGACCACAAUUGUCGUUAUAAACAUGUGAUGACCUGAUCUCUAUGGCAGUCAAAGGAAUUCUCCCCUCCUAUUUUACUCCAUGAAGUGCACAAUUGCCCAGAAGCAUUAUGGGAGAUUUACUUCAUGCUCUUAAGCAUCAGAUAUUAGCCAGUGCUGGAGGCAAGAUACAUGAAAUGAUAAACUAAGAGUCUGAUCCCGUAUGGCUAAACUAUGUCCCAUUAGCUCUUCACUGUAGGAUUAAUAGGAGAGAAAUGUACUGUGAGGGAGGCAAGCCUUGUUGACCAUAUAUAAGUUGCUUUAGAAACUCAACUGCUAUAAGUUUUCUUCUUAAAGCAGAACGUAUGCCAUCCAUACAGCAAGAGUGAUACUUCACACAUUCUUUUUUGCCUGUAAGCAUGUAGACUAAUGGUUUAUAAAAUUACCAGGAUACUUUAUUUAGAGAAUAUUUUAUUAGUUUCUGUAAUCAAACCCAUGUAAAUAAGACCUUACAUAUUUAAUACAGUAUUACCCCUGUACAAAUGGAAAAAAAAUUAAGUUGAACAUUUCUAGACCAAUAUGGCUGUUAAUUUCUGUACAAUGCCAACUCACAGUACAAGUGGGAUACUUUUUUUUCCAAAGUUGACAUCACAGCUAAAGUUUCCAAAAAUUCAAAUUAUAUAUAUAUUUAUAUAAAAAGAUAACCAAUAGCGAUUCACUAGGCAUCAAUAGCAGCAACAGCCUUUCCAGCUUCUGCAGUCAUCUGAACAAAAUUAUACACAUUAGACUUUCAGCAUACUUCCUUCCAAAAAGUAAAAAAACAAAAAAUCCCAGAAAAAAACAGCAAAUUCUGUUAUUGAUGUGGUACCUGGUGCCUUUUAUUAGCUUCUCAAUCAUUGUCUGGAAAAAAACAUUAUUAAAAACAGCUCUGGUAUAGCACAGUCACUACUACAUAUCAUAAGCAGGUACAGGAUAUCUUACAUUCACAGAAGUAUCAUACAGUACUGUCCUACAGCUAUAAUAGAGGAUACAAUUAAAAAGGCAUUAUUUGACUUGAUUCUACUUUCCAGCACACAGUGGGCAAGGAGGUGCGAUGCAGCUCUGACCUAACAAUGCACCUUUUUAAGAUAAGGUUCUCUUUACUCUGAUAAAGUUUCUCUUUAAUCUAGCAGCACAGUUCUAAGUGCUCAUUGCUCUACACAGACAAAAGCUGGAAACUGGUAAGACUACUGGCUUCAUACACGGAUAGCCAAACAGAGGUGAACAGAACUCAUUUGACUAUUAAUGCAAUUAGGCUUUUAAAUCCAAGGGGUGAACGUCUGAGGCGGUGUGGGUAUAGAGAAUAGCCUGUGUGCCAAGUGACACUUUACUGUCGUGAUCUAAGUACAUCAUCAUAUCAAACAAAAGCAACAGCAGUCAAACACUGCCUUUUUAGGGAAAUUUGACACAAUGUUGAUGUCACUAAUUGUGUUCUAUUACUUUAGAUGCCAUGUGGUGAAGGAUAAACUACUCUAUGUGACUUGCCAAUUAUAUUAAUUCCCAUUUCUUUAUUGCGAAACAGCAGCCUCUCAAGUCACUAAAAAAAGUAAAAAUAAACACACCUUACUCUGUCCAGCACUGUCUUCAGACUGCAUGAUCGGAGAGACAGCUUAUAAAAGAUGAAAUAGCAGCCGAAGAACAGCAGAGCAUGAAUAAAAGUAUUCACCCUCCCAGUUCUUCAGCCACCUUCUCCCCUGCUGUGCUAUUUCCCAUUAUGUAUCUGGAUGGCAUAUAGAUGUGUAUGUCAAUAUACACACAUACACUCUACCAAAAGCAGACUUCAUGCUAUAUUAGAGAAGCUGCAAGCCCAAAGAGACAGAGCAUUAUUGGACCUGCAGCUGUUUAUGUCUGUCAAUGCCAGUAGCGUCUAUCUUCCUUUAUACUGUUUGGAGCCAUGAAGGGAUAGAAGACUACUGUUUUGCCCUUUGGGCUACAGGUUCACGCUGCUGCCCCCCGCCCCAGCAUCAUAGAAACACAGCCUUUAAGAUUUUGUUUCUUCUGUCUUGAUUGCCUGAGGUUUGAUUGGUCCAGUUCUAACAGGUUUUGUGGUGACAGCAGGCGCAGGGGCAGGCUUUUCCUCCACUUUGUCCUGGCAGACCCCUGAGGAGUCAGUCAUUGCCUCAGCGGGUUUGCUUCCACUUUCGUCCACUUUUUGAGCUUUGCCUCCUAUUGGUUUGCUCGGUUGUUGC